rnacentral:rRNA from 1 species
GUGGAGCAUGUGGCUUAAUUUGACUCAACGCGGGGAAUCUUACUAGGUCAGGACCGAUUCAUGAUUGUCACCGUUUGUGUCGCCGGUACAAGAUUGUUGGAUGAGUGGUGCAUGGCCGUUCUUAGUUCGUGGCCCGAGUCGUUAGCUUAAUUGCGAUCGAUUCAUCUGCCUCGAGGCGAAGAACGUAAAAACGAACGAGACCGUGGCCUGUAAUUAUUUACGAGUUGCGCGUAAAUUAAAUUACAGGGACAGGGCUAGCUACUACUACACACCAGGAAGGACACGGCAAUAACAGGUCUGUGAUGCCCUCAGAUGUUCUAGGCCGCACACGUGCUACAAUUGAUUCCCCAGUCAAUUAUGUAGUGCGCGUGUUGUGAGAUCCCCCGCGUAGAGUCUAAUUAAGUCACUAGUUGAGAUUACCGAUUGUAAUUAUUCGGUACCGCAACUAGGAAUGCCUCGUACGGUGGGAUCAACGAGUUCCAUUGGAAUCCGUCCCUGCCCUUUGUACACACCGCCCGUCGCUCUUACCGAUGGCGGUGGUUUCGAAUGUUACCGAGCGACGUAGGUUUAAUAUACUCGCGGCGCAACGUAAUGUAAGAAACCACCGCUAAAGGAAAGAGAAGUCGUAACAAGGCAUCG